GACGAAGGAUGCGAGCGUUAUCCGGAUUUACUGGGUUUAAAGGGUGCGUAGGCGGAUAUAUAAGUCAGUGGUAAAAGGUCGUGGCUUAACCACGGUAUAGCCAUUGAUACUGUAUAUCUUGAGUACACUGGGCGUAUGUGGAAUAUGGCAUGUAGCGGUGAAAUGCAUAGAUAUGCCAUAGAACACCGAUCGUGAAGACAGCGUACGAUGGUGAUACUGACGCUGAGGCACGAAAGAGUGGGGAUCAAACAGG
rnacentral:rRNA from 1 species